AUUUCAUGGUUAGGGCAUUACAUAAUCUUAUCAUUUAAGCUUUCUCAUACUUCAUACAAGGGAUCUCCAUUGAGUUGACAAUAAUAAUGAUCUUAUUUCAUAAUU
rfam:Capsicum annuum cultivar Zunla-1 chromosome 4, whole genome shotgun sequence